rnacentral:lncRNA from 1 species
GCAUGUAUUCAUGUUAUAUAUAAUUUAUAUAUAUAUACGCACACACACAUAUAUGUUUGUAUGUAUGUUUGUCAGAAUAAAAAUUUUUUCUGGGAAUGCAUACUCUCCAUUCAAGUGUUAUAACUAGAACUUAAAUGCUGCUUAGAGGAGAUAGUGGGGAACAUAAGAGAAAAUAUUGCUUUAAUAUUUGUGCUUUAAUUUUCAGAAUCAAUUUUGUAAUAAUGGCCUCAUAACUUGAGAACACCUGUCAAUAAAGGAAAUUCUUUUCUGAGCCUGGAUCUGCAAUGUGAAAUGUAAGGAAGGGAAAAGAAAGCAGGAAACACUGGAAAGAUAAAUGAAGUUUAUCUUAUGAAGGUGUGUCUCACAGAGAGAUCUAGACCACUGAUUGGCAUUCACACCUGUGGAAGCAAAGUGUCAAUGCUGAUAGAACUGAAAACGUUUACACACCAGGAAAUGGUUACCUUGGUUUCCUGGACCUGGAUUAAUUCCUAA